ACUUAUAAGCUGAGCUUUUCCACUGAACAUGCAUAUCUAAUGCAUGAAUUCUUGACUGAACUGACUUUUGAAUGCUUGACUGAUUAUGCAAUGAUAACGGAUGCUAGCUUUGUGAGAAAUAUUUGAACAUACAACUGAAUGGGUUUAAAGAAUUGAAAACAUCUAGGAAUCAUAGGGUAUCUCCCCCUUGGGACACUAUGUCCCUCUAAG
rnacentral:lncRNA from 1 species